CCGUCUCGGCCUCCCAAAGUGCUGGGAUUACAGGCUUGAGCCACCGCGCCCGGCUAUUUACUUUUUCUAUCAAUUUCUGAGAGAAGAGUGUUAAAAUCUCUAUGAUUGUGGAUUUUGCCUGUUUUCUCCUAUAGUUCUACCAUGCUUGCUUCAUAACUCUUAAGUCUCUAUUAUUAGUUAAUUCAUCUUCUUGAUGAAUUGACCUUAUUAUUAUUAUGCUUUCCCUGUUUGUUUCUUGUAGUGUACCAUGAAGUAUGUUUUGUCUGACAGUAAUGUAACCAUACCAGCUUUUUAAUACUUACUGUUGGCAUAGUAAAACUUUUUCUUUUUUCUUUGUUUUCAGACAGGGUCUCACUCUGUCACCCAGGCUGAGUGCAGUGACAUGAUCACAGUUCACUGCAGCAUUGACCUCCCAGGCUCAAGCGAUCCUCCCACCUCAGCCCCGUGAGUAGGUGGGCUACAGGUCCACACCACCACAUCCGGCUAAUUUUUUAAUGUUUUUAUAGAGAUGGGGGUCUCACUGUGUUACCCAGGCUGGUCCUGAAUUCCUGGGCCCAAGUGAUCCUCCUGCCUCAGCUUCCCAAAGUGCUAAGAUUAUAGGUGUGAGCCACCACAUCCAGCCUAAAACUUUUUUCAUCCUUCUACUCUUACCUCAUUUGUGUUUUUAUAUUUAAAGUGAGUCACUUAUAGACAACUUAUAGUUGGGUUUCCUUUUAGAUCUAGUUUGACAGCCUCUGCCUUUUAAUUGGAGUAUUGCAUCCAUUUACACUUAAUGUAAUUAUCAAUAUGGUUAGGUGGAAGUCUACCAUCUUGCUACUUAUUUUCUGCUUGUCACAUCUGGCUUUUUGUUCCUCUGUCACUGCUUUCCUGUCUUUUUUGGUAAAUCUUUUUUAAUAUUUAAUUUUGUAGCCAUCCCUGUGGGGAUGUCAGUGAUGCUCAGGCCCCACUACCUGCACCAUUGUCCUACUGCAUCUCCUUUGAGCCUCCUGUCAACCUCUGCACACAGGGCCUCAGCCCCUAGCCCCGGAUGCCUACCACUAGACCCAGCAGAACCGUAGCAGUGGUUUGCUGGCCCAGCACCUAAAGCCGCAGAAUACGCCCCCUUGGCCCUCAGGGAAAGAUGCAGAGCUAGUGCGACUUACUCUUCUCCACCACCAAAGUAAGGACAUUUGUCGCUGGAUUUAGGGCCCGCCCAGAAUCCAGGAGGGGCUCAUCUUCAGAUCCUUAAUUACAUCUGCAAAGACCCUUUAUCUAGAUGAGAAUGUCUAGCCUCUGCCCGGCCCAGCCUUGUAUUUUGGGAAGAGAUGACUGUUUCUAGCUGCGCAGGUUCACCGUGGAAGAGAGAGGAAUCCAUUCGUUGUCAUGACCAUGAUGCUGUUACCUGUGCCUGCGGAAGGAAGGCGCUAGGAUGGGGCUAGGCAGCGCCAUUGGCAAUGUAAGAGGCCAGCACCAGAGCCGGGCCCACUGCUCUUUCCAGCGUGGUGACAGGGGUAUCGCCAUGUGCCACAUGGCGCCUGAGGUGCGCACGGGUGAGGUCUACCGGGAAAAAAUGCAAGAUAGAAACCUGGGUCUUUAAGAAGAAAUGAAGGUCACCAGAAAAGUGCCCACUUUAAAGGAGUGCUGGUGGAUGGUCCAGGAAGAAGCAUCGAACACAGUCACCUUGCCAUCGCUCAGAGCACACCAUAACUUGGGGGUCUGGUAAAGGGGCCGUAGGCACCGUGUCCGACCAUGAAGAUGGCAAGAAGCCUCCGAGACAGCCCAAGAAGCAGGCCCAGGAGAGGGACAGGGAUGAUGAGGCUUCCAGCAGAGAGCAAAACGGACCAGAACCUCAAGGGGCCGAAAGCACAGGCCGCAGGGAGGCCCAGCCACAGCUGGAACUAAGACCCCUGGCGGAAAGCACGUGCUCCCUGUGCCUGGGCGGUGGCGGCCUGGACUCCACUCCUGUUUCAACACCUGCAUCCCUGCCAGGACAGCUUUUGCCAUCUUCACCUAGAGUGAGCGUUGCCCUGGAGCCUGUUGCACGUUCAAGAAUAAACUUUAAAAAUCUGACAGUGGCACGUCACGUGACAACUCUAGUGGCUUCUCACCGUCAUUCCCACCUGAGCUGUGAAUGUAAGGUAAAGCCGCCCAGAAGCCUGCCAGAGGGCGCUCUUUGGUCUUCUCCCCUCAAUUCUGUAUCACCAUGAAUUAAACCAGCUCAUUUGAAAGGAGGAAAAAAAAGGGUCUUCUUUUUAAAAUCAUUGCUUUAGGCCAGCUGUGGUGGCUCACACCUGUAACCCAGCACUUUGGAGGCCAAA